UGUCGCAAGCCACUACUUCACAGAAGAGGCAUUAGAAUGUUUUAUUUUUUUUAUCAAAAUGCUUUUUUUUGGCAGAAUGCCUUCUGGACCACGUGAACUUUCAUGUGCCUUAAUAACAAACGUGCAUGCCAUCUGUAAAUAGGAAUAAAAUAGAAUAAUCACAAGCCUAGAUGUUUUUAGCCACAGAAAAAGGAAGGAACCUUCCCGCUAGACAUGAUUGGCUGAGAUAAUGAAUGGGCUGGACAGGCGAUGAGAUGAUUUCAGAUUGAUCGACCAUAUAGCACAUUCUGUCUAUAACAUAACCUGCUCGCUAUGUGUAGAUACUCCUUUCUACUGCAGCUUUUUUUAAAGAUAUCAUUGAGGUGUUUCUCCGGAUUACAUAUUCAAACUUAGGGCACAAAUGGAAUCCGUGACAGAGGGAAAGAGAUCUGAUUAAUCUUAUGGCAUUGCACACGGUCAGUGUGAACCAGAGCGAUUUGACACAACGGGCCAAGCAAGCUGUACAAACGAAACGGAAACGACACAGGACGUCUAAUUUAAUGAAAUGGGUUGCAGUCUGCCGUGAAGCUUUCAUCUAUGAAUACGGGUAAGAGUCCAGCUACAUUUUCAAAUAUUAUACAUUUCUAAUUUAGUCAGGAAGUCGUUUUCAUUGCAAGUUAAAGCCAGCUAGCUAACAUUAGUUGGCUGACUCACUAGCUAACAUCACGUUUAUGAUCUGUGUAUUAAUAUUAUCUCAUGAAGCCAUUUGCAUUGCUAGUUAUAGCCUAAUGUUAGAUGGCUAACUAACUUUGAACCUAGUUCGUUAGCUUUAACUAGUUAUGACAAUCGGUUUGUAUUGCUUGUACUCUAUGGGUUGGGGUUAUGGGUCAUUGUUUAGCUAGCUUCAUGUUUAAACAAGACUCCACUUCGGCAGAUGAUUACAUGACUAAUCAAGUUAGUCAGGUGAGUUUGGCGGUGAUUACGGCCAUCUAUUGUAUAAUAAUGCUAAGAUAUUUGUAUCUGGAAUUUGUCUUUCAGCAUCUGUAGAACACGCCAGACUCUCUUCCACCAGUCAUACAAGGAGAAUGGUCUAAUGCCUCCCAUCAAAAAGAGAUCCUGCCCAAGCAAGCGCAGGUUACACCCUGUAGCAUGAGGACUUGCAGCGAGUUGUGAACUUCAACAACAACUAUGCAGAGGAUAAUGCAAUAGUAUUACCAGGACGUCACCCAGGACACAAACACUUUGAUGGAAAGCUGCUGCCAUCCCAUGUGACAGAAGCAGCAGUGUGGUGUCUCUACAAGGAAUCGAUGACAACACUAUAGGUACGUGUAGUCGGGCUUUCUUCCUUCAGGAAUCUGUGAAGAGAUUGCUGGUGUGGUGAAGGACAGCACUGUGACGGGACAACAUCCCACUGUUGGUUGGACUGGAGCUUUGAUGCUCUGGAGCCUGGUGUUGUUGUCGCCAAAGGAGCAGCAACCCAGUUGGGACCAGGUUUCAGCUGCUGUGCAAUGCUGAUGUCCUUUCUCCCAUAGAUGGUCUGCCUGUACAAGCACCACCUGGACACAACUAGACAAAUAUAUAUUUUUGAGAAGAUUAGGGAAUUUUGCGACAAGGAGGCCAUGGACAUCAAAUGUCCUGCACCAAAGUAAAGGGCAGGACAGAAACAGGCUCGCCGAAUAUAGAUGCUCUUGUUCAUGCGUGGUGCUGAUGGACCAGUUCAUCACUGGAGGCCAAGUUCCCAUUCAUCCGGACUCUCUCUAGUAGCAGCACAUUCACAUCACUCUCCCCCUAACACACAAACACGCAUACCAUACGUUGCUGCUACAUUUAUUUUUAUCACGCUGCUCAGCCACUUUACCCCUUAUUGUAUGCAUAUAACUUCAUUGUCUAUCAAAAGUAUCACUGAUAUCAUUAUUGACAUUGUUCGUGUACAUACUGUGUAUUUAGUUCUUUCUCUUACUGGCAUUUUGACACUUGUUUAUUUAUUGUUUAUAUUGACACUUUCUAUUUUUGAUAUUGCUACUUUAACCAUUUCACUGUAUCGUGUACACCUUCUGUACACCUUCUA